UUUCUCUUUAGUUGUGUAGGUCAUUAAGGGCAAAUGCUUUAUUCAAAAGUUUUGUGCUAGGUCAGAAGAACAUUAAAAGAUAUGAACACAUUUUAGAAAUGUUUUCUCAAUGCCUUCUGUCUACCAAAGUCGUGCAAGUAGCACAGUUGCCUUUGCAAAAGCAAAGUAGCAUAUGACCUAGUACAAAAGGUUAUACUACAUCAAAGUCAAUGCUUCUAAGUAA
rnacentral:lncRNA from 1 species